UACGUAGGGGGCGAGCGUUGUCCGGAUUUAUUGGGCGUAAAGAGCGUGUAGGCGGCCAGGUAGGUCUGCUGUGAAAACUCGAGGCUCAACCUCGAGACGUCGGCGGAAACCAUCUGGCUAGAGUCCGGAGGAGGAGAGUGGAAUUCCUGGUGUAGCGGUGAAAUGCGCAGAUAUCAGGAAGAACACCCGUGGCGAAGGCGGCUCUCUGGGACGGUACUGACGCUGAGACGCGAAAGCGUGGGGAGCGAACAGG
rnacentral:rRNA from 1 species